UAGCUGAUCGUCAUCUUCCUUGAUUAAGUUCUCUAAAAUUGUCAACUUCAACACUGUUUUUCUUCAAAACACAGAUAAGAACGUGAAAGUGAGCAGUGUUUCAUUAGGUGCAUCUGAGCAAGAUAUACAGGAGUUUUUCCUUUUCUGGGGAAAUUGAACAUGUUGAGAUGCACAGUGGCAAUGAGUGGUCUCAAAUUGCAUAUGUUGUCUUCAAGGAUCCCAAGGGGGUAGAGACAGCAGUUCUUCUUUUGGUGGAUUUUGACUUCUUCUUCAGUAACAUCCCCUGCACUAUUACGGAAUUUUUAACUUAUAAUUGGUCUUACAUCCAAUUUUCAAGAGAAUUUUGAUGAUUAUUACGUCAUUUUCAUAAUGUGACUUUGUGUGUUCUUUUAAGCAAUUUUUUUUUUUUC